UCUCUCACAAGCCAAAUCAGACGAGAGAACCAACCCGGUCCUAUCCCCACGUAGCCAACCUAAAUUCCCCUCCUGUUCGUCUCCUCUGCUCAGCCGCCGCCGCAGAAACCUCGCGCCGCCGCCUGCCCGCCUUCCCCAAUCGAUGGUGCCCCUCGCCCCUCCCCUAUCCAUCUCUCCCCCGCGCCACUUCCUCCACGUUUGGACCGGGUAGAAGGAGCUCGUCGGCCGUCGGUGUAGCGCGAGAUCUGCGCAAAUGGAGAUUCACAGCCGAUGCGGUUUCCACUCUGCCCCCGGUCACCGUUGCCCUCCCAGCAAGCAAAGAAAAGGGGCGGCGCUGGAGAGGAGACAUAGACGGGGGAUCGGAUUGGUUGUGGUCUUGGGUGGUGAGGGGUGGAAGUUGAAGUGCCUCACCUUGUUGAGCAGAUAGGGCAAGUGCGACCGCUUCCUCGACCUCGAUGUCAGAUUGGAAGCGACAUAGAGAUAGUUGUUCUGAAGGUUUUCCAUGCUACCCAGUGGUACGAAUUUGGGAUGAAUAUGGCUUGCUUACUAAAAAGAAGAGAUCUAAAUAAGUUUUAUUAUUUCUGGUGGAUUAUGUUUAUAAACCUUCAUGCUGUUAAUCAUGGGCGAGGAUUCCACUGUCAUGUUGCCUUUCUGGCAUCAAAUGUCCUGUGUGAUCCCGCAGAUUUACAGGUUCAGAUGUGGUCCUUACAGUGGGAUAUCAAAAUGGUCAGGUAUACUUUCAUUAUCUCUGAAUUUUCACUAUUUAUUUGAAGCUUGUAAUUACUAGGUGCUAUUAGCUAAAUAUUAUGUUCUGGCUUGUCUUAUUGACCAGUACAAUUUUAGUUUAUUGUGAAAGAUCUUUGCCGGGCCUUGAGAUUCUCGCUGAGAGCUCCUUGAUGCAGUUAUUAACAUGGAGUUACGAGACAUGCAUGGAUAAAUCCAUGCUCUCCUCAAAUGGACGAAUUGGUAUGAUAAAUCCCAUCGGCUAACCCCUUGCUGGCACAACAUGUCUCCAUGGGUGACUUCAUUAUAGUGGACCGAGAUAUUGUUGUUGUGUAGCAUUAGUGCCUUAGCUUGGUCAUACCAUUUCAUUAUCCUUUUGAAUUAUGUUCCUAAGCACACUUACACAUUUUCUCCCCAUGCCACCGGAUUUAUAUGAGUUGUUCCCUUGCAAAGAUAUAUUUAUCUUAUCAAUGUUAUGUUGUCUGGUAAAAAAAAGCAUUGUUUCAGUUCCAUAAGGUGUUAUUUGGCUAGAUUGGUACCCUGGGAAUUGGGACUAAUUGGUCUCGCUAGAAAGAGUAUACAACAACAAUUCAAAUGCAGUCCCUGUGAUAUGACAAGUGUCCAUUAUCCAUCAGCAUGGGAAAUGAUUGGCUGUUUCUAGAUUUAUGAGUUCACAUAUAUAUGGUGUGCUGCCAUCGAGGACAUACCAGCUAUGGUGUGCAUCAAAAUGCUCCUGUCGUAUUUUAUGGAUUUGACCCAAACGUCUCCGGAUGGUAAAUAUAAAAGUCUACUGCUUGACAUGGCUGUGCCUGCUGAUGCAAUUCUAGAUGCUGUGUUUUCUUUCUGUGCCAAGUUUUUAUGAGUUACCCAAUGCACUAAGUUUUAUUGGUUUGCACAAAAUAAGGUAGCUUAUGUAGAUGUUGCUUUUGGGAAGUGGAGUUUUGGCUCACGGGUCUAGAUUCUUAUUUUGUUUGAAAUGCGCUACAUAAGUACAAUUUCUUGUUUUAUACAGAAGGGUAUUAUUUUAUCUGGUCAAAAUGAAAAUAAAUUAACUCGAGCUUUUCCAUUGUGAAGUUUGAAGGUAUACAGCUUUCAUGAACUGGAAGAGCGCUACAUAACUUUGGUUACUGAAGCAAAGCUCUCAUUCUUACUUACAGUAUAUGUUAGAGGGAAGUCAGAUGUGUGAUUAAUCGUGAUGAGUUUAUGUUUCUUCACAGGCUAACAAGAAAACCAGAAACAGAGCUUAUGAUUUGAGAGUUAAACAUUUAAAUGUGCUAGGUGGUUAACCAUCUCUCUUACUUAGCUACCUGAGAUUGGAUUGAUCGCUGCUGUUUGGUUAUUAACUAAUAGACUAUAGAACAAUGGUGCAGCUGAAAUUGUCCGGCUGCAACAAGAAGAGCAUCCCUCAUCUGCACAAUGCAAAUAUCAACAUUAAGAGAAGACCCGCAGUUGCAAUCUCACUAUAAACUGAGAUGAAAUGGAAAAAAGGGAAAUUUGUCAAAUUAUCAUGAGAUUCAAGGCUUCAAUCAGAACGGAGGCCGAAGCUGCACUGAGACCAACUGAGGUUGACGAAGAGGUCAGGGAUGAGGGCGCCAGCCUAUUGGGAAUGUUGGAGAGAGACCCCAGACCUGCAGCUAAAUGCUAUGUAGGUUGCGUUGUCCGCCUAGGGUCCAUGAGACAGUUGUUUGUUCCCCAGCCAUGGCUGCUUCGGCUUGCAUCGACCAUGUCGUGCUUGGAGAGCUGCGAGAAAAGGGGUCCUGUGGAGGGGAACAUCGUGCUGUCGGCGCGAGCUAGCUGGUGGCAGUGCCGGGGAGUGGCAGUUGUAUAGGACAGGCGUACAGCGACGGAGAGGGGGCAACCCCUGAGGUGAGAGGCGGGGAUGCAGGUGUGUGAGCGGCCGGUCAUCGUCGGUGGGGAGAAAGGUGAAUGGGAUGACGAGACAGCGAGACAGAGUGGAGUGGGUGGGUGUUGAAGCAGCGCAACACAAACUGAGGCUGUGGCCUAUCUCGAAGCCGUCCAAGCAACUGCAGAAUAGAGUGUGGUAUGCCUCCAAAAUUCCAAAUCAAGACUGAUUGCAAGAAUCUGCUCAGACACUUCAAAGUCGGAAGUGGAAUUUGACCGUUUGUUUCGUUAAACUUUAUUUCAGUAGAAUUUAUGUUUUGCCCAAGAGGCUACAAUAAGCACAUGUCAUUGCGGCUUAUGGUGCUAGGCAGACUGAUCCUGACGAUGUUCGUGUGAUGGUGGCCAAGCUGUGCCAUAGAUCUGUUCCGGGUCAAAAAGAAAACGAACUAGCUGGCUUAAGUAUGUGCCCAAAAAAAUAGAGCUAGCUUAAAUAUGCCCUGUUAGGAUAAUUUGCUGAGUUGAACUUAAAUCAUAUUAGUACUGUGAGUAUUUCUUU